rnacentral:rRNA from 1 species
AGAGUUUGAUCCUGGCUCAGAACGAACGCUGGCGGCAGGCUUAACACAUGCAAGUUGAACGGGAUUUGUAUGGUGCUUGCACCAUGUAAUGAGAGUAGCGCACUGGUGAGUAACACGUGGGAACAUACCUUGAAGUGGGGGACAACAGUUGGAAACGACUGCUAAUACCGCAUAAUCCCUGAGGGGGAAAGAUUUAUCGCUUUAAGAUUGGCCCGCGGAAGAUUAGGUAGUUGGUGGGGUAAAGGCCUACCAAGCCGACGAUCUAUAGCUGGUCUGAGAGGACGAACAGCCACAUUGGAACUGAGACACGGUCCAGACUCCUACGGGAGGCAGCAGUGAGGAAUAUUGGGCAAUGGAGGAAACUCUGACCCAGCCAUGCCGCGUGAGUGAAGAAGGUUUUCGAAUUGUAAAGCUCUUUCGGAUGGGACGAUGAUGACGGUACCAUCUAAAGAAGCCCCGGCAAACUUCGUGCCAGCAGCCGCGGUAAUACGAAGGGGGCAAGCGUUGUUCGGAAUUACUGGGCGUAAAGGGUGUGUAGGCGGAUUUGUAAGAUAGUGGUGAAAUACCUGAGCUCAACUUAGGAAUUGCCAUUAUAACUAUAGAUCUGGAGUGACAGAGAGGAUAUUGGAAUACCCAGUGUAGAGGUGAAAUUCGUAGAUAUUGGGUAGAACACCAGUGGCGAAGGCGAGUAUCUGGCUGUCAACUGACGCUGAGGCACGAAAGCAUGGGGAUCAAACAGGAUUAGAUACCCUGGUAGUCCAUGCUGUAAACGAUGAAUGCUAGUUGUCGGCAAAAGCCGGUGACGCAGUUAACGCGAUAAGCAUUCCGCCUGGGGAGUACGGUCGCAAGAUUAAAACUCAAAGGAAUUGACGGGGACCCGCACAAGCGGUGGAUGAUGUGGAUUAAUUCGAUGCAACGCGAAAAACCUUACCUAGCCUUGACAUGCCAGGAAGGCCUGAGAGAUCAGGCCGUGCCCGCAAGGGAAUCUGGACACAGGUGCUGCAUGGCUGUCGUCAGCUCGUGUCGUGAGAUGUUGGGUUAAGUCCCGCAACGA